CCUGGAUAAACGGGUGUCGUCAAGAUCUCAUGUUACCCCAGAAGCUUAUAUCAGUAAAAGAGAGACUGCUGCAGUGAAUGGAGAAAAUACUAGUCAGUCGUACGAUGUUUCAGCCACGCCGUUUUCAGAACAAACGUCUGAGCAUCUUGUUUCUCCACUCUCGUCUGAGUUAGGCGUGUCAGUCACGCCGCAAGGCCCCAACUCUCCACCCUCACCACAAGCUGUAGAACAAGAAACGUUCAGAGAUUCCGUCUUCACAUCCUCUAAACCUAUGGAGAUGUCCUAGUAUCAUUCUAGCCUACAGUCUUCACCGUGGCCUAUCACAAAUGCUGUAGACGGGCGUCUAGGUGUGAUAGAAAUGGUUGUCAUAGGAACGGAAGUCCGGGCUCCCCUAUGAGAAGUACAGGUUAGGGUUAGUUGGAGUAUUGGGGUUAGUAUAUGGAACGUAUGUCACCUGUACAAAUAAGCAGACUACAGUUCCUAGAGGACUUCAUUCCUGUCACACCAGUUCCCCACCGCCGACGUCAGCCAACGAAACGCGUCUUGACGGAACUGCCGGGUUCACGACAGGUAAAUCAAACCCGCAAGAAAAAUACAACAUCUACUCAGAUCUGUCGACUUUACGCCUCAUUACGGACUUGCGAGUUGCUGACGACAGUGAACGACGUAUCGUUAUACAAAACUAGAAAAGAGCGAGAAUCCCUGAAAAAAGGGGCUAAUUUUCAUCCUAGAUCUCGGGUGUCAAAGAUCGUAAUUCUAGUAGCGCAUUGUGUUAAAUAUUCUGCGCAUGGCGGUGACUGUGAAUAUUCUGAAAAAGAUUUUUCCAUAUGAACGCGUCUGUCAUUAUAAUGUCAGUCGCUAGUACCAAGAAAUAAGAUAUCUUAUCUAAUACCUUGCUAAUGUAACGUUCCGUUCCGAUAAUAGAAAGACUCCAACAAAACCAAAAACAAUUUCGUGAAAGAACAAUUUAUUGCAGUAGAUUAAUGACAUAUAACUGGUACAAAAAUGUCAAAAAA